rnacentral:rRNA from 1 species
UACGUAGGGUGCAAGCGUUAUCCGGAAUUAUUGGGCGUAAAGAGCUCGUAGGCGGUUUGUCGCGUCUGCUGUGAAAACUGGAGGCUCAACCUCCAGCCUGCAGUGGGUACGGGCAGACUAGAGUGCGGUAGGGGAGAUUGGAAUUCCUGGUGUAGCGGUGAAAUGCGCAGAUAUCAGGAAGAACACCUAUGGCGAAGGCAGCACUCUGGGACGGUACUGACGCUGAGACGCGAAAGCGUGGGGAGCGAACAGG